CCUACGGGAGGCAGCAGUGGGGAAUAUUGGACAAUGGGGGCAACCCUGAUCCAGCCAUGCCGCGUGUGUGAAGAAGGCCCUCGGGUUGUAAAGCACUUUCAGUGAGGAAGAACGCCUGGUGGUUAAUACCCAUCAGGAAAGACAUCACUCACAGAAGAAGCACCGGCUAACUCCGUGCCAGCAGCCGCGGUAAUACGGAGGGUGCGAGCGUUAAUCGGAAUUACUGGGCGUAAAGCGCGCGUAGGUGGCUUGAUAAGCCGGUUGUGAAAGCCCCGGGCUCAACCUGGGAACGGCAUCCGGAACUGUCAAGCUAGAGUGCAGGAGAGGAAGGUAGAAUUCCCGGUGUAGCGGUGAAAUGCGUAGAGAUCGGGAGGAAUACCAGUGGCGAAGGCGGCCUUCUGGACCGACACUGACACUGAGGUGCGAAAGCGUGGGUAGCAAACAGGAUUAGAUACCCCAGUAGUC
rnacentral:rRNA from 1 species